CUGAGUCCUGGUCGUCCUGUCAGUUCACUUCGUUUGCUCGUCGAAAGCUGUGCACGCUGCGGAAGCGACGGCAUUAGCAUCGCUCGUUGCCCAUUAGCAACAACAACACAACGACCAUUGACAUACCAUUCAACACAGCAACAACAAUUGGAUUUGAAGUUGGGGGAUUCCGGCGGCAAAAGUGCGUUUGAAAUUACCAAAGUUGCCCCAAUUAAAGGGUGCAGCGCGACUGCCAAGUUCAAGUUGGGUGUUUUGCCGUGGCUCCCACGGACGUGUUAUCCUUGCGAACGCCUUGGUGCUCGCGAAAACUGGUGCGUGGCGGGCGUUAAAUUCGCCAGUGACUCCGCGUCAAGUCAACUGUUUCUGAGAACCACUGCGAGUGCGAAGACUGCUUGCAGUCAACGGUGGCUAAAAGUAAAAGCGGAAACGUAAGCCAACCCGAAACGCCCGAGCGCAAGAGCUAUUGAGAAUCCGGGAAUUCGAGAACAGGAAUCGGUAGUGACAACUGUGAAAUGUGCGACUGCAUUGUCGUUUUGCCACCACUUUGACCCAAAUCGCAUUGCAUUCGAGUUGUGCCGGAGUGCGGGUUCUGCGGACGCAUGCCUGAUGGCUUAGUCCGAGCCGUGCAUGAUCGAUAAGCCCCAAUCGAAGCUCGCGAGUGCCCGACAGCUAGACACAAGAAUAGCAGAUCCACAAGCGACUGGAAUCCGCAUCCGCAUCCGAAUCCGCUCCAGCAUCCGUUCCGGGCUCAGCCGCACUUGGAAAGUGAUUCACAGUUGGCCGUUUCUCGCUAGUAGCGACGCACUCAGUGAGGACGCAUUGGAGUUGUAGUGGCUGCUAACCACGCGGGAAGAGGGAGCCGCGCAGCGGAAGGACCCUCGGAGGACACAGGACAUCACGUUGAAGGCGAUUCAUCAUCGGCGCCACGCUUCCGACAUUGUUCUUCGCAGGAGGCGGCAAGGAGGCAAGGAGGCAGAACAUCCUCUAGAGCAAAUUGAAUGUAAUUUCAUAAAAAGGCGAGUGUUAAUUUUUUGCCAGCCACACAAUACAAGAUAGAUACAGCCAGGGUUACACGGACCCCGACGUGGCUUAAUGUGCUAACACGCAGUGACAUGAAAAAUGAUGAAGACCGUGCUGCUUUUUUCCGCACCGACUCAAUAGACUCAAUAGCGAGGGAAGUCUCGAGGAAGGAGCUGCAAAUUUGCGAGCAGUGCGAGAGGCGGCAACGAGCAUUGUGACUCGACUCGCAGGACAACAGCGCAUUGACAGGCGACGCAAAAACGGAGCUGGCAAAAAGGCUGAGCUGCACAUCGCCAUCGGACCAGCAUCAUUUAUCAGCGACGCAUCGCAUCGCAUCAACUAGCA